CAACAAUAUGGUGAUCCCUGGGAAGCUCGGGUUUACCAGGUUGCCUAAGGAGGGGUGAACCGGCCCAGGUCGGAAAUGGAGCAGGUCAAAAUUUCCGUG
rnacentral:sRNA from 1 species